rnacentral:rRNA from 1 species
UACGAAGGGGGCUAGCGUUGUUCGGAAUUACUGGGCGUAAAGCGCGCGCAGGCGGUUUUUCAAGUCAGUGGUGAAAGCCCGGAGCUCAACUCCGGAAAUGCCAUUGAAACUGCAAAACUUGAGGACGAGAGAGGUGAGUGGAAUUCCCAGUGUAGAGGUGAAAUUCGUAGAUAUUGGGAAGAACACCGGUGGCGAAGGCGGCCAACUGGUCCGGUACUGACGCUGAGGUGCGAAAGCGUGGGGAGCAAACAGG